GCCCAGUGCUCUGAAUGUCAAAGU
rnacentral:ncRNA from 9 species